GACGAACGCUGGCGGCGUGCUUAACACAUGCAAGUCGAACGGAAAGGCCCUGCUUUUGUGGGGUUCUCGAGUGGCGAACGGGGGAGUAACACGCGAGUAUCCUGCCCUUGUCUGUGGGAUAACUUCAGGAAACUGGGGCUAUUACCGCAUAGGAGAUCCUGCUGCGUGGGGGGGGUUGGUGAGUUUCGGCCGUUGGGGAUGGACUCGCGGGUUAUGAGCUUGUUGGUGGGGUAGUGGCUUACCAAGGCUAUGACGGGUAGCCGGCCUGAGAGGGUGACCGGCCACAUUGGGCCUGAGAUACGGAGCAGUCGGCUACGGGAGGCAGCAGUGGGGAACAUGGCACAAUGGGCGGAAGCCUGAGGCAGCAAUGCCGCGUGCGGGAUGACGGCCUUUGGGUUGUGAACCGCUUUCGCCUGUGACGAAGCGUGAGUGACGGUAAUGGGUAAAGAAGCCACGGCUAACUACGUG
rnacentral:rRNA from 1 species